CAGCAGCCGCGGUAAUACGUAGGUGGCAAGCGUUGUCCGGAAUUAUUGGGCGUAAAGGGCUCGCAGGCGGCUUCUUAAGUCUGAUGUGAAAGCCCCCGGCUCAACCGGGGAGGGUCAUUGGAAACUGGGAAACUUGAGUGCAGAAGAGGAGAGUGGAAUUCCACGUGUAGCGGUGAAAUGCGUAGAGAUGUGGAGGAACACCAGUGGCGAAGGCGACUCUCUGGUCUGUAACUGACGCUGAGGAGCGAAAGCGUGGGGAGCGAACAGGAUUAGAUACCCCUGUAGUCCCUGUCUCUUAUAC
rnacentral:rRNA from 1 species